rnacentral:rRNA from 1 species
UACGAGGGGGGCGAGCGUUGUUCGGAAUUAUUGGGCGUAAAGGGUGCGUAGGUGGUUUGGUAAGUCUUAUGUGAAAUCUAUGGGCUCAACUCAUAGUCUGCAUGAGAAACUGCCGGGCUUGAGUAUGGGAGAGGUGAGUGGAAUUCCUGGUGUAGCGGUGAAAUGCGUAGAUAUCAGGAGGAACACCUGUGGCGAAAGCGGCUCACUGGACCAUAACUGACGCUGAUGCACGAAAGCUAGGGGAGCAAACAGG